UACGAGUUUGGUUUUCCAUCAAUAAAACGAGAGUCGAAGUCAACUUUAUGUUUCAAAUACUUCAUGAAUCUCAAAUACUAUUCUCUUAAAUGUUGUUCACACGCCACCAAACAAAAUGGGCGAGGCACAUCACUCCAAAUAAACUUAUUGCAAAUAUGUUCAUGCUAACAUCUUCGAAUUAAAAUAGUAGUAUAGUAAAAAAAAUAUAUGAAAAAAAUAAAAAUAAAACCUAACUUCAUAUUAUUCUCAUCUGAUCAUCUUGAUUGAAUCUCUUG
rnacentral:lncRNA from 1 species